UACGAAGGGGGCGAGCGUUGUUCGGAAUUACUGGGCGUAAAGGGCGCGUAGGCGGCCUUGUCAGUCAGACGUGAAAUCCCCAGGCUUAACCUGGGAACUGCGUCUGAUACUACAAGGCUUGAGUGCGGGAGAGGGAUGUGGAAUUCCAGGUGUAGCGGUGAAAUGCGUUGAUAUCUACAGGAACUCCGGUGGCGAAAGCGGCGUGCUGGACCUUUUCUGACGCUGAGGCGCGAAAGCUAGGGGAGCAAACGGG
rnacentral:rRNA from 1 species